GGUUUGCUCAGUUGGGUAGAGUGUGGUGCUGAUAAUGCCAAGGUCACAGGUUUGGUCCAUGUAAGGGAGAGCU